rnacentral:lncRNA from 1 species
UGCAGAUGCUUUUAUUUAACUGCUUUCAAUUUCUAAUUAAUUCUAAUUUCCAAUUCACCUUUAUAGUCCUAAACUGUCUACUGCCAGGAAAUUUUGUAAUGGUAGCAGCCAGGUUUUUCUAGAAAGAGCCAGAUAGUUUUAUCUUUGUGGGCUAUGGAAGCCCUGUGACAACUCAAUUGUUCAUAAACAGUAUGUAAAUGAGCAGUUGUGUCUGUGUUCCAAUAAAACUUUAUUCAGCAAGCAGAUACCAGCUUGUAGUUUGCUCAUUCCUGAUUGAUAGCCUCAGACUGCAUUUUCAGUGUUGCUGCUGUUGUUAUUGGUUGUGAACCUUAGCCUUUAAAGGUUGAGCCAUCGCUCUAUUCCAAUUUUAAAAAUAUUUUAAUUUUUAAGAAUUUAUACAAUGUAUUUAGAUCUUGUUUCACCCCUCCUUCAGUCAGUUUUUCCCAGAUCUACCCCCACUUCCUUAAUUCACUCAACUUUCUGUCCUUUUAGAAAAAAAAAACAUCAUGUAGUCUAAUUUGUGUUGCCCAAAUACUCUUGGGUCUGGGCCUCCCCUGAAGUGUGGUUAUUCUACCAGAAGCCACAUUCUUUUAAAAAACAAACAAACAAACAAACAAACAAACAAAACAAACAAGCAAACAGAUUUUUCCUCCUCCAGCAGCUAUUAAAUGGUAAUAGCUCUUCCACUAGGAGUGGGACUUCAUGACUCCUGCCCUCGCUCCCUAGUGCUGGGAUUUGUCUGGUUUGAGGUUGCACAGGCAUUGUGAAUGCUGUGACAGCUGCUGUGAGUUCAUACGUGCAGCUUCCCUGUUGUGUUUGCAAAGCACUGUUUACUUGUAGUCAUUACCACCUCUGGCUCUGCAAAUCUUUCUGUCCCAUUUUCUGUGAGCCUUGUGGGGAGGAGUGUGGUAUAGAUUUCCCAUCUAGGGCUGAACACUUCAUACUCUAAUUCUCUGCAUGUUGGUCAGUUAUGUGUCUCUGUAUUGAUUCUCGUCUACUGCAAGAAGAAACUUCUCUGAUGAGGAUUCAGAGAUGCACUAAUCUAUAGGUAUAACAAUAAGCCAUUAGGAAUCAUUAUAAUAUUAUGUCCAAUUAAUAAAAUGAUAGAAGUAGGGUCUUUCUUAGGGCCUUUAACUUGUCUAGUCAUAAAGUUUUGGUUCUGAUAACUGUGCUAGAUAUGGAUUCCAUCUCAUGGAGUGGGUCUUAAAUCCAUUCAGAAAGUGGUUACAUUCAUGUAAGUGAUAAGUGGUAGCAUUCAUGCCAUUCAUUAUUGUACCAGUGGGCACAUGCUGCCAAGACAGUUGUGGAUCACAGGGGUCAUGGUGGAUAAGACUGAGGAUUACUGUCUUGUCUGGUAGUGAGCAUAGCACCUUUCCACACUGUGAAAUCUAGCCAGUAGGAAUGAACCUUUUCAAGGUUAGGACCCACCUGUUUUUCUCUGUGUUUUUAUGACUCAAGUGAUGGUAUUUUCAGUAAUAGGGUCUUAUCAGCAAAUUCUGAAGGGCAACCAAGAACAAUGUGAAUGUAAUGUUUGAGUGACCCGACAACUCAAAAGAGGUUUUUUGGUUUUUGUUUGUUUGUUUGUUUUUUCAGCUUUGCUGUAUUGUUAAAUCAGUUUCCCUGAUAUUCCUCCCUGUUUUUAUUUUUGUUUUUUGUUUUUUCGAGACAGGGUUUCUCUGUAUAGCCCUGGCUGUCCUGGAACUCACUUUGUAGACCAGGCUGGCCUCGAACUCAGAAAUCCACCUGCUUCUGCCUCCCGAGUGCCACCAACCGCCUGGCUUAUUCCUCCUUGUUUUGAGUGUCACUACUGAGGCAGUGAAUUAAUUUAUUCUUGAUAAAUAAAGAUGACUCUGUCUCCUUGUUUUCUGUGAUGAUGAAAAUGGUGUCUUAACUAAGAUUAUAUUUGAGAUAUUUAGCUGAAAACUCAAGAACUUAUGAUUUAAAAAGAUAGCGAUUUUCUUCCAUAGGAAGGAUUGGUAUCAGCAGGCUGGUGAUACCAGGGAGUACCAUGCUCCAGUAGCAGCCCAGUGGAGGAUGGAAACUCAGCUUCCAGCUAUUUUUUUUAUUUUUUAUUUUUUAUUAUUUUUUAUUUUUAAACUCUGUCCCUACUGUUCUUAGGAUGAGGGCUUCCCUCUCAAGGUCACUUUUGAAAGCAAAAUACUUGCUGCAGGGGCCAGCCAGGGGCCACUGGGUGCCUCUGAGUUUCCUGUGAGAAUGCUGCUGGAGGCUACUGGUGAUGUCAGCCUAACUUGCUCUGCUGCCCCAGCUGUGCAUUGUUCUUAUCUGGGUCUCAUCAGCUGGGGAGAGAGCUAGGUCUGCACUAGGAGAGGUGGCCUCAGGUGCAAGUUUCUUUUUAUUUGGGUGCCUGCCUAAGUGCCUUUGUGUGCUUGUGUGUUUUGUUCACAAAAUAUGGCUCAUGCAUGCCAUAGCAUGUGUGUGGAGAUCAGAGGACAACUUGAAGGAGUCAGUUUCCUGCUACUGUCAUGUGGUUCUUGGGGACUGAACUUAAGUCAAACGGCUGCCAUCUCGUUGGCCCUCAGGAUGAUUUUGAAAGGAAAUUUAUUUUAAGUACUGUGGUGGUAGUCUCCAGCUUUUUUUUUUUUUUUUUUUCCCCGAGACAGGGUUUCUCUGUGUAGCUCUGGCUGUCCUGGAACUCACUUUGUAGACCAGGCUGGCCUCGAACUCAGAAAUCUGCCUGCUCUGCCUCCCUAGUGGUGGGAUUAAAGGCAUGCGCCACCACUUCGUCGUUUUGAUAACCUGCUGGGUUGUUUGUUCCAUGUCUGGGCGUCCUGGACUGGAAAGGUAGAGUGGUCGGAUGCUGUGCUGCAGUCCUUCCUUGCCUCCAGUUCUUCUUUUUCAUACUGGAUCCUUUCCCCACCCCCAAUAUAUUCUGAUCAUAGUUUCUUCUUCUCUAACUCUUCCCAGGUCCUUCCUACCUCUCUACCCACCCAAUUCCACACCCUCCCACUUUAGAAAGCAAAUGGGCAAACAGC